rnacentral:rRNA from 1 species
UACGUAGGGGGCAAGCGUUGUCCGGAAUCAUUGGGCGUAAAGCGCGUGUAGGCGGUCCGCAAAGUCUGGUGUGAAAACUUAGGGCUCAACCCUAAGCCUGCACUGGAUACUGGCGGACUUGAGUCCGGAAGAGGAGAGUGGAAUUCCUGAUGUAGCGGUGGAAUGCGCAGAUAUCAGGAGGAACACCGAUGGCGAAGGCAGCUCUCUGGGACGUGACUGACGCUGAGACGCGAAAGCUAGGGUAGCAAACGGG